ACCUGGGUGGCUCAGUCAGUUGAGCGUCUGACUUCAGCUCAGGUCACGAUCUCAUGUUUGGUGGGUUCAAGCCCCAUGUCGGGCU
rnacentral:tRNA from 1 species